rnacentral:rRNA from 1 species
GCGUUGUCCGGAUUUAUUGGGCGUAAAGAGCUCGUAGGCGGCUCGGUAAGUCGGAUGUGAAAACUCGGGGCUCAACCCCGAGACGCCAUCCGAUACUGCUGUGGCUUGAGUCUGGUAGGGGAGAUCGGAAUUCCUGGUGUAGCGGUGAAAUGCGCAGAUAUCAGGAGGAACACCGGUGGCGAAGGCGGAUCUCUGGGCCAGUACUGACGCUGAGGAGCGAAAGCGU